CAAAAAAAAAAAAAAAAACAACAACAAAAAACAAAUAUGCAUUGUAGUUCUUGAUCAAUGGAGUCUUUGGGAAAGAAGUUUCUAAGAGGUCUUAGUUGUAUUUUUUUAUUCUCUUACUGACUUGGCACAGAGUAUAUUCUUAAUAGGUUUUAUUAUUAAUACAUUUUAUUGGCUAUUGAUGUAGCAGGGAAGAGAGACUGAGGAACGUGAUGAGAGUCUGUGCCUUCACAUAAGAACUCAAAUACUGAGAAGUUUCCCUAAGCUUUCUUUCUGCUUCCUGGGUCCCCUCCCCAGUGCCUGGGAUAGGUACUCAAAGAAGUUUGCUGAUGGGAAUGCUGUCGGUGGUCAAGAGGUGCCUGGUUGGCAUUGGAGAAGAGGAGAAGUGUAUUCCAGGAGAGGGAAACAGCACUAGCAAACCCACCCACAUAGAAGCAGAACUAGGCCUAGAACCAGCUCCCAUUCCUUAACACCACUAUGCUUUUACCUCUGUCGUUACUAACAAGGAUUUGGGAAGGCAAAGUAAUAUCUUGUGAUGCUUCGGAACCAGUACUUUUCAAUGGAUUUCAUUCAGUGUGCUGAGCUUUUAGUCAGUGUCUUUUAAGCCAUUUUUUAAAAGCCAAUGCCUCAGGCUCCACCCCAGAAAUUCUGAUUUAAUUUGAAAGGCUCCCCAGGUGAAUCUAAACCAGUGGUUCUCAGACUUUCAAGUGUAUGAGAAUCAUUUGCAGGGCUUCUUAGACCCAGAUUGCUGGGCCCACACCCAGAGUUUCUGGUUCAGUAGAUCUGGGGUAUGGUCCAAGAAUUUGCAUUUCUUUUAAAAUUCCAGGUGAUGCUGAUAUUGAUACUUUGAGAACCACUGUACUAAACAGAGUGGCCAGAGGCAGUAUUGGAAACUCCCAGCCUUGCAUCUUUAUGGGCAAGGGACUAUGUGUUCUUGGUCUUUGUUUCCACGGUGCCUAGCAUAGUGUAGGUACUCAGUGCAUGAUGAAUUGACAAAUUGAUAACAACCUUAAUGAAGCUCACAGCUCAAGCAGUUGCCUAGCCUGCCAUCCCUGAAGCUCAUGGGUUGAGGCAGGAGAAGUACUUCGAGAAGAUCACAAGUGUUCCCCCACUAAGGAAGUUGUCAAAUGGCCACCAGCUUGACAUAGGAGAGCUGCCUUCAUCUCUCUUAGUAGCUGCCACUGUCUUGAAAGGUAAGGCGAGCCCAGGGGGCCACUGUCACUUUCUCUAGACUUCUGAAGAAAGAUGGAGUAGCUGUGUUCAGUGUGGGCUUGAGGGCAGAGCAAGGGCAGCAGAAGCAACAUAAGGAAGACCUUUGAAAGUCAGAGCUGACCAACAGUGAAUUGAUCUGCUUGAGGACUUGAUGAGCUCCCGAUCACUGGAGGAAGCAGAGCCUAGGCCUCUACUCAGCGGGAUGCUUUAGUGUCUUCUAGCCCAGUGAUUCUUUCUUUCACAGACCAUCCUGUUCAAGUUGUAGUCUCAGUCUGAAGUCCACCUGGCAGCCCAGCCACAUUCUCUGGUCCCUUCUGAAACCCAGGACACAGAACAGCUCUCUGUCCAUAGUAGCAGGGAGGAGAGACUGAGGAACGUGAUGAGAGUCUGUGCCUUCACGUAACUCAAAUACUGAGAAGUUUCCCUAAGCUUUUCUUUCUGCUUCCCAGGUCCUCUCCCCAGUGCCUGGGAUAGGUACUCAAAGAAGUUUGCUGAUGGUAAUGCUGUUGGUGGUCAAGAGGUGCCUGGUUGGCAUUGGAGAAGAGGAGAAGUGUAUUCCAGGAGAGGGAAACAGCGCUAGCAAAAGGAUGGCAGUGAGAAUGCGUGAGGCAUAGGGGAGACCAUGUUCCAAACAAUGGGAGAUGGGAGUAUGCAAAGAUAAGGUGGAGAAAUACAAUGGACGGACCUUAAAGACAAGUAAAAGAAUGUGGAUUUGUCCUGUGUCUGUUUAGCUGGGUCUAGACCAGAACGCUGGGUAACUGCUAGGCUGGAUGAGCCAGUGUGACAGAGUCUUCUCAGAUUUUGGAAGCUGCACUUUUCCUCCUCUCACCCCUCCUCUUUAUUCUUCUCUUUCUCCUCCUCACUGUAAGCUGUCCCUUGAGUUCUAUUCUGAACUCUUAAUGGUUUUUCUAUCUCACUAGGGACAGUGUGCAAACCCUCCUUGGCUUGGCCUGGUUGGGGCUGGGCCCGGGGCCGGCUCAGGAGAGCCGGGGAGAGGAGGCGGCUCCCAGCAAUAAGCAACCCACAGAAUUGUGUCUGUUAUUUAUGAAAAAGUUUCUGGGUUUUCGGCUAAUUGCAAAAAUACAUAAUGGAUGCUUUUCGCAUCUGCUAGUUAUUCUGGAACAGGCCUGCAUCCAAGAGCAAACUUUAAACAAACAAUAAGAUUAUGGAGCUUAACUAUUUCAAUGUGUGACAGAAAAGAAAGCCAAGGCCCCAAAAGUUGCAUUAAUACACAUGCACUCAGACACAAGCAAAGGAACGACAGAUACACAUACAUACAAAUAUACAGAUUCACAUCCUGGUACCAGUGCACACAAAUGCGUGCUUGGGUACUAGCACCUAGUACAUACGUGGACGUACAACUCAAACACAUGUGCCCAGUCACAGGCACCAGUGCACAUACUCACACACGAAGACAAAUGCACAUGCAUGCACUCACGUACAUGUAUACCCCUACACAGUUGGGCAGCACAAGCGCGCAGACACAAAAGCACACAGACAUACAACCCCAGACACCAGUGCAACAAGUGGGCCUCCUAGGUGGGUGAGUGGGUCUUCCCAGUCCAGAGGUAAGUAACGUACUCAGCUGGGCACUGGCUGUGCCUGGGUGGUAUCGGGUGUAGUUAUUCGGUGUGGCCACCAAGGGGCACCCAGGAUCCAUACUGCAUCCACUUUUUUGCUGGUUCUGUCAGCCCGUCAAUUGUUUUUGUACCCACAAGCUUGCGUCUUCCUGUUCCGGAUCCCUGAACAGAGCUGAGAGGCUCCUUGCUCCCAGCUCCAGCCUUCUAGGACCCACCGUAUUCAUUCUCACCUUGUCCCUGUCUCAAACCGCUGAAACAAGCACAGGUCUCCACCCCUCCUCCCUCCCAGCUGAACAUACACUUCAGAGCCCCCUGCUCAGUCCUCAGACUGCUCUUUGGAGAAGUGGAUCUGUCAGGUCUUGAUCAUAAUGUAGCCUCCACCAAAGCUUCUCUCCCAGGAGCAGCUGUGAAAAUCCCACCUAUUUUUCAAAGUCUGCUUCAGCAUCUCCCUGUGCAGGACUGCCAAAGUUAACAAUGUGUGUUAAAAUAAUUGAAUAGAUGAGUUAAUGUCCAGCUCAACACCUGACUCUGCCUCGUCCACUGACCCCAGCCGGAGAGGUCUCUCACCCUCUAGUACCUGCCUCCCGGCUUUUUAUGUGCUUUUAUGAAACAAAUCCAAGCUUUUAUACAUAGCAAAGCAGAAGUCAACCCCUUUCAGCAUCCCUGACAGGUAGCUACCCUAGUAACAGAGAAAUCACCCCUUCCUGAACAGCCCUCCUCACUGGGUCUAGAAAGUUCCUCUGUGUUCCUUCUCCAUAAACAUUCUCAGAGCUCCUUCAUGACAGGGGCUGUGGCAGGCUCCGAACAGACAAGAUCUCUGCCCUUCAACAAAUUAGUCUAGUGAGGGCGUUUAACCAGUACAGCAUGAAGCAUGCAAUAGUACAGUAAGUACAAAGUGCAGGGGAGAGUGUGAUGAACUUUCCAGAGGAGUGAGGUGGGGAGUCAGGGAGACAUUUACAGAGGGAGUGAGAGCUGAACUGAGACUCAAAAUGAAUAAGAACAAUCAUUAUAGUUCUGUAUACUGAACAUUUACUGUGUGUGUGACUGCUCAUCCUCAGAGGUGAAAUUCUAAUUCUAACUCGUGUCUGCCUAUCUGCAGUCUGAGAGCUUAGCCACUAGUCUAAAACACUUCAUAUGACAUAAAUCAAGUAAGAGUUUGGGGGCAGCAGGGAGGGGAAGGGCAUGCCAGGUGUUUUAGUUUUCUAUUGCUGCCUAACAGAUCAUCACAAACUUGGUGACUUUGAACAACACCCACUUGUUACCUCAGUUUUGUAGGUCAGAAGUCUGGGUUCUCUGCUCACAGUAUCACAAAGCUGAAAUCAAGGUGGUAUCUGGAGGCUCAGGAAAGAAUCCACUUCCAAGCUUCCAUACUGUUGGCUGAAGUCAAUUCCUUGCGGUUGUAGGACUGAGAUUCCUGUUUCCUUGGUGACUGUUGGUCAUGGGGUACUCUUGGCACUAGAGGCUGUGCUCACAUCCUUUCCAUGUGCCCCCUCCAUUUUCCAGUCAAGAAAGGCAGACAGAAUCUUUCCCAUGCUUCAAACCCCUGACUUCUUCUGUCACCAGCUGGUCAAGCGAAUCUUUUAUGCUUUGUUUAUAGAUGCAUCUGAAAACUUAGAAACUAGUAAACUGUUUCUCAUGUAAUUGUGUUAUCAUUGUUCAUUGCAGGUCUGGGGAUUCCUAGAUUGCAUAUUCUUACUUGCACCACUUUUUCUUUUCCUCAAAUUCCUAACUGCCUUUAUCUCUCCCUCAUAUUUAUCCAGUCUCGCUUUUAUCCAGUCUUCCUCUCUCACCAGAGACUUCCUUCCAAGUCCCUCUAUUCUCAUGCUGUAAUGUGAUCAGCUAGUGUCCAAGCCUGCUGGAAAUCCAUCACUUUAACUUCCUUUCACAGCUUUCUGUGUGGGGUCCACCCUUUUUUGAAACAUGUUUCCCACUUUCGUGGUUUAUGUCCAUGUUUGUCUAGAGCACACCCACACCCUCCAAGUAACCACCUGAGGAAGAAUGCAUAGGAUGUAAAUAUUCUCACUCCUGGCGUGUCUCCCUAUGUCUUUACUGUAUCUGUAUAGUUGAUGGUUCAUACGACUGUGUUCCCUCAGCACUUUGAAGCAUUUCUCUACUAACUUAGAGCAUCCUGUGUUGCUGCUGAGAAUUCUGAAGUCACUCUGAUUACCAUCCCUUUAUGACCUUUUUUUCUUUAUUUUUAUCUUUCUCCCAUCUGAAAGCUUUUAGAUCUUCUCUUUAUCUCCCUGUAUUUAAAAAGUCAGGAUAUGGUACCCAAGGGCAGGUCAUUUUUUCAUUCAUUUUUGGGUGCACAUAUUGAGCUCUCUUAAUAUGGAGACUUUGUGGACUUUGUUCAAGGGAAAUUUUCUUAGGUAACUUUUAAAUAUAAAUUUCUCCAUUUUUAUCUGUUUUUGCUAGAAUUCCCAUUUAGAUUUUUAACUUCGUGUAUUGAUCCUUUAUGUCUCAUAUUUUCUACCUUCUUAUCUUUUUAUUUCACUCUCUGAGAAAUUUUCUGAACUUGAAAACAUUGAAACCUACUAAAAUUUGAAAUAUAUAUUUAAAUUUUCAAGAGCUCUCUCUUGUUCUCUGGUUGUUUCUUUUUUCUUCAUACCAUCUAGUUUUUAUUUUAUGGAUACACUGUCGCCUUGAAUCUCUGUAAGGAUUCUAUUGAGUGUAAAACUUUUUUCAUUUUUUUUUAAGUUCUUUUCUGGUCCUUGCAUUAUUUCCAUUUCCUUUGGGGUCAUUUUAUUUGUUUGUCUUACUCUUUCAGUUUGGUGGCUUUCCUCAGAUGUUUGGCAAUCCUUGGAUGUCCGUUCAUAUUUACAAAUGAAGAACCAAAGAGCUUGCUGAUUAACUAGUGUGCAUGCCUCAGGUUGACUGGGCAGUCAGUCAGUCUAUAGUAGAGGACUUGCUUCCCCUGCUCCCACCCCGAUACCAGAACAUGAAGGUCUUUCAUCUGGGGACAAUAGAUUGCUCCAGAAGUCCCCCUGAUCUCCCCCUGGAGAGUAGACCCUGACCUCUUGGUGCUCUGUGCCUGGCGUUGGGGAGAGACUGUCCAAUGUCGAUUUUUAAUUAAUCCCCUGUUUUAAGCUCUGUGUCUUGCUGGUUCUGCCAAGACAGGCUGCCUUCUUCCUUGGCUGUAUCUUCCUCUCCGCACACUCUGUCCUAAGACUUUCUCUGCCCUCCUGCAUCAGUUACCACUCCUCCACCUGCUUUCUGUUGUUCUGUUGUAAUAGCUUGUCUGCUGAGGUUACCUCACCCAUUAUCUUUAUUGUUGUGGUUUGCAUCCUUUGUAUUCCUUAAUAGUCAUUUUAUCAAUAGAAGUCUCUCAAGCAAAAGGGGCAUAAAACAAGAGUCAGUUUAUCAUCCUCAAGGACAUGUCAGCCCAAGCUCUUCCUUAUUAUCCCUCUAAUUACAGCACUGGCCCAGUUGUGAGGUCUUCCAAGUGUGUCUCCUGUGCACACUCUCUCCUCUCCUGGCCCCAGGCACCUCUUCCUCACCUAUCAAGUCUCUCUCCUCCUCAGGAAAGGACCGUAAACUCCUUUACUCUGAGGGUGCCUGUCAGAGGGUGAGAACUUCAGAGAACACAGUCCCCAUUGGUUCAGACCUAACAAAUGAAGAGUGAAUGGUGGGAUCUCAGUUCUAGGGCUUAGUUUAGGGAAGUUCUACCUCAAGUGUGAGUGCGGGUCUUCUAUGCCUCGAGGCCCUAAAACGCUCCCAUGUUACUCACUGGUGAUAAUAGUACAAAUGUGACUCCACCAGAGGACUGAGACGGCCCAACUGUGGCUGGAGAUCGGCUGCUGCUUCUCUGCACUACAACCCCUGCCCCCGGGCCUGGACUUUGACAGAAAAUCCAACUCACUCUGGCUUAAGCCUUUAGAACAUUAUUUGCUUACUUAAGUCCAGAGACUGUGUGGUGGCUCAUAGGUAACAAGGACCAUGACCCUUUCCAUCUUCCACAUCAUCGUCCUCAGGGUGUAGGUGUGGUAGAUUACAUUUUCCAAAGAUGGAGGCAGCAAUAUCUCCCAUGCCACUUGCUCUUCUGCAAUGUGACCUUGCCAUGCCUUCGUUAAGAGGUGGACUCAUGGAUAAAGAAGAUGUGGUAUAUAUAUAUACAAUGGAGUAUUACUCAGCCAAAGAAGAGUGAAAUAAUGCCAUUUGCAGCAACAUGGAUGGACCUAGAGAUUAUCGUACUAAGUGAAGAAACCAGCAGCCAUGCUGGGGUCACCCAAGCCACAUGAAGGGGCCAUGUGCAGGUGUCCUGGUCAAGAGCCCUGGCUGAGCUCUCACUGGACAUCCAGCAUCAACCGUCAGCUAUGUGAGUGAGCCAUCCAGGACAUCCAGACCAGCCUCAAGUUACAAGAUGGCCUCCUUAGCUCCGAGCAUCAUUACAAACAACCACAUCUAAAAACAGAAGUAAGGAAGUAAGUACAGACCAAAGUCUUUCUGCUUGAGUGACUUUCAGGGGGAGGAAUAUCUUACCCAGAAGUCACCCAGCAGAAUCCCCCGUAUUCUCAUUGGCCAGAACUGGGUCCCACAGCCUCUCCUAACCACUAGACAGGCUGGGUACAGCCUCUUCAGUGGGAGGUAGGCAAAGGAAUAGGAGGCUGGGAAUCGCUGUCGUUUGGUCAACCAACAGCGUCGGCUCUACUUUGUUGAUGUGGUGGUGGUUCUAGGGGGAAGAACAAUCAGGUGGGAAAAUGACCCCAUGCUAAAGACGGAACCUUCACUGCUCCUUCCAGAAGCGAAGCUGCCUCAGUGGGAACAAGUUUAUUGAAAACUCCUUUAGGUAGGAAGCAUGGUGUACUGCCUGGAGUCCCCCGCUGGGAGGCAGAACCUGGCCCUAGAGCUUGCUAGUGGUGCGGUAUUAGUGGGUUAGUUCCCCGUUCUGUGCCUCAGGUUCCUUAUCUGCACACUGAAAGGAUUCCUUCCAACUCCGUCACGUUAGGAGACGCUGAGGCAGAAGGGAAGUGCUGGACGCUUACAGUGUGUGGAGGCCAUGCAUUGCCCAAGUCAAGCUCGGCAGAGCCUGCCUCUGGCCACAGAUGUUGGGAUUUGCCAAACAAACUCUAAUCACUUAAUGAGAAAUGAAAAUGGUGCCUGGUUCCUCCACUUAAUUGCCCCUUUGAAAACAACACACGGGAGAUUUACAGUGAUCACCAUAAUCGCCUCGUAAAAACCCAAGAAUUUGAGGACUGCCAUGCCUCAUUUCUGGGAGGAAUUAGAGGCAAAAAUUAAGGCAAGGAAUUCCUGGCCUGCCUUGGCCUUGGCUCCCUGGAAUCCAGGACUCUGCCCACAGAGAGCCUGCCACCCUGGACAGCCUCCUGGCCCAGGCAAAUACGGCUCCAAAUGCUCCGCAGCAGUGUUUCCUCACAGGUCUGCUCCCUGCAUCUCCUUGUCAUUGGUACUGCCUAAGGGAGGUGGACCAAAUGCCAGAGGGCCUGACAUCCCUGAGGGUCAGAUGGAGGUCCUCAAGGAGGAGAGAGAGGAAUCUUGCUGCACCCGCUAGCGACAUCUGAGCUAAAGGACAGGAGGGGAGGGGAGAUGCGGAGGUGGGAGCGCAGGCUGUCCCUAGUCACUGGAAAGCCGCAGCUCUCAGGUUCUCCUGAGGCCAUCCACCUUGAUUUGGGAGGUGGAUGGGAGGCCAUCCACCUCCCACGACAAGGUGUUCUGACCUCCCAGGACAUCUGCUAAGGCAGGCUGGCAGGGAGAAGCUUCACACUCAGCUCAGCAGAAGUCUCUUGCCUUUCACUGCCUCAUAACUGGACUCAGAAUCACUGAGUGUCAAGGUUAGAACUGUCCUCUGGGUUUGCGUCUCCAGCUUCUCCCCUCGACAGCAAUAUUCCUUUCUUUCUUCCCUCUCACUCUCCUCUACUCAUUCAUUCAAAAAUAUCUAUUAAAUCCCCGACGUGCAUCAGAAACUACCGAUUCUUACCACAGUAGCCAGAGUGGUGCUUUUAAAACCUGAAUCAGAUCACUCUCCAAAUCAAAGGGAAGGCGGCUUCUGCAUGGCUCUCAUGCCCCGCCCUUCGCCCACUCUGCUCCAGCCACGCUGGCCCUCCUUGCUGUUCCUGGAAAACACCAGGGACCCUCCCACCUCAGCGCUUUUGCCCUUGCUGUUCCCACUGCCAGGAAGGCCCUUCCCCGGUAUAUCCAAAUGCCUCCCUCCCUCACUUCCUUCCAGGCCUUUCCUGACCUCCCUACAUAAAAUUGCACCCCUACUCUCUCUAUUAUCCUCCCCAACUUUAUUUCUGCCCAUCGUGCUCAUUACCUUCUGAGACACAGUCCACUCCAAGAUUUGCUGAUUGUCUCUCUUUCUACACUAGAAGGUAAGCUCCAAAGGGCAGGGAUUUUUGUCUUUAUUUUUUUUCCACGAUUAUAUUAAAACACUUAGCACAGCAGCUGUCACAUGGUAGGUGCUCAACAAAUAUCUGUUGAGUGAAUGAACCAUGUGGAGAGAGCAGAGAAAAAGAUAACCCCCCCACCCUUGUGGAACUUAGAGUCUGGUGGCAGAGGCAGACGUCAGGCAAACAGUCACCUGUAGGACUAAGUGACUCAACUGUGGUAAACGCUGGUGGGAACGCGGCAGGUGGAAUGAGGGUGAUCUGACCACAGGCCAGACAGGCCAGUUGGCGGAAAUUUGGCACAAAAAUCCUCUGUUUGCGAGAGGAUUGGACAUGUAGGGUGAUGAGGGUUUGGGCCGCGAAGCUUCAGGAGGAAAAGGUGCUGGAGAAGUUUGGGGUGCCACCUCUAGACCCUCUAAAGGCAACGGGACUCUGUGGCGAGAGGGUGGCCGUGCGCAAACUGGGUUCAAGUCCCCGCUCCUCUGCUUCUUCCCAGCCACUCACCCUGGGGCAAGCCACCUCAGGGCCAGAGCACUAGGUUCCUUGUCUGUGGGCUGGAGAAGGGAUAACUAGGCCUGCCGGGAGGAAGGGAUGAAAUAUCGGGUAGAGCCGGAGCCUGUAGGUGCUUGGUGAGUGCCAGCGCCUUUCUGGCCCCUUUCUUCUUUGUUGAACUUUUCAACACCCAAUCUCUUUUCAAACGGCUGCUCCGCCUUCUCUCCUGGCCCCUCACAGCCUUUGGGAGCAGUAUGAGGAAGGGAAGCAUCUAAUCGACCUGAAUGUCAACUGCAGGUUAACAGAAAUGAACAGGACCUUUGGGGGCAGCAUGUGACAGAGGAUUAGACUGAUUUCUGCUGAGCCCCAGCCCCUCCUGGGCUCCGGGCCAAACAGGGUUGACUUUGGAGCUAUUGACUACAUCUCCCAUCAGCCUCCGGGCCGAUGCCCUGCUGACCCAUCAUGGGACCAUGUGACUAGAAUGAAGCUUGGGGUGGGGGAUGGCUGACAAAGCUAGUGACACAACUAGUGUUGCCAACUGCCAGGCUCUGGGAGGAGCCCUCCUUGACUGACAACCUAGAGAGAGCUCCCAGCACCCAUGCACGCAUAUACACGUGCUCGCGUGCGCACACACGCACACGCACACGCAUAUCCACACACAGCUCCUGGCUCCACAGCCCCCCCCAACCCCCAUGGGAGGACGAACUCCCUGCUCCCUCACAUCCUGCUCUCUCUCCUGAUUGGUAAGUGGGGGAGGGAGGUUGGUAGGAGGCAGCAAACACAUCACUUCUUCCCAUGGUUAGCGUGAACAGUGGCUACACUCAGGCGUGUGGCAAACUCUCCCGUACUGUGGGCCGGCUCCAGUGUUAAGCAACGGAGAAGCAAUGAAUCAGAUCUGAGUCUUGGCCUCAGGGAUCACAUUCUAUUGGGGACAACAGACAUUUGCACAGAUAAUUACUAUAUAAACUACACAGUAGAGGAUCCAAGAGGGAACCUGCAGAGAGAAAACCUGGAUUACACUUUGGGAGUUGAGGGUGGUGACAGGAAAGGCUUUGGGAUAAGGUAGCCUUUAAGCUGGGCUGAGGUUGGAUGGAAGGGCUCCUAGGUUGGUAGAACUGCGCAAAGUCACGGAGGCGGGAGAGUGAGGGGCCGGCAGGAAAUGGCAAAAUGCCUGAUGUCAGCCUAGAGCACAGGUGGGAUGUAAUUGCUUUCACCACAGCGAUUCGGUUUGUAACCAGCCCUGAGGAACCCUCCCAGGGGCUAAUGCCUCCCAACCCUUCCCUGCAUCCGCCGGACACCUCGGAUGGCUUUGGAUGGCUCCUAGGGGACCAGAAGACCACUGUCUUUCUUGUUUGCUACUUCACUGCCCUGCUUGGCCCUACAUUCGACUCCUUCAAAUUAGCCUCUCCUGCAUCAUCUCAAGUGCCCCCUGGAGGUGCUCCUGCCUCUUCUCUCCCUGCUUACACGCAUCUCAUCCUUCAAGGACAGAGGAGUCCUGCUUCCUCCAGGGAAGCCCUCCUAACCACUCCAGCUCACUCUGGCCUCCUCAUCAGAUCACCUGAAAUGCCUGAAGUAACCAUGUGGUUCACUCAAUGACCCCUUUUCAGUAAAGGUGCUUUGUCACAUGCUGUAGAAUGAUGCUACUUUCACAACAAGAAAUUCACUAGAGUCUGUUUAAUAUAUGCAUAUGUAUAACUGAUUCACUUUGCUGUACAGCAGAAACUAACACAACAUUGUAAAUCAACUACACUCCAAUAAAAAUUAAUUAAAAAAAGAAAUCCACUGUCUAAACAAAGAAAGGGAGAUUGAUUACAAGGGACUUAAGAGUCUCAAGUGACCUAACGCAGGAAAGGACUUGACCUAGCUCAAGACCCCAGGGGGUUGGUUCUCCCCACCUCUAUCUCUGCCCCUUUGCUCUUUUCUUUUCCCAGACUGGCCUUCUCUGCCCUUCUGAUCAGAUGGGGGAAAACAUGACAGUUCACAGCACCCAUCAUAUCCAGCCAUGUGGAAAGAAUCUCCACAUUUUCAAGAGAGGGUGAUUGGACCAAUUGGAGCAGGUGUCCCACUCUAGGCCAAUCAGCUUUGGGAGGGGAAUGGGGUCACAUGGUGCUAACACGGCUGCCAGGCUACCCCUCUGGGAGUCAUUCCUCACAGUCCUGGGGGUUGGUGAGUGGUCUGUUCUAAGAGAAAGGAAUUGUCAUGAGCAGAGCAGGUACCCCAAAGGUGCCUGUUACAUAUCUACUGAUGUAAUGUGACUAUGUGCUCAUGAAUUUCAGUUCCAGACUAUCCUACUGACCUACUCUGCGACUUCAGGCAAGUCCCUACCCUCCUCUUGGGGUUGCAGUUUCUUCAUUUGUACACAGAGGAUGGUGGGUCUAAGUGUUCUUUUGGGCUCCCUAACUCUCUUGGACUUUGGGCCAAUUACCCUUUUUGAAUCUCAGUUUUCUCAUUUAUGAAAUGGGAUAAUGAUAUCUACCUCACAGCGUUAUUGUAAGAGUGAGCAUGAACAUAUCUAACAAGCGUUGGGUACAGAAAUGCUCAAGAAAUGCUAGUGACUCUCGUAGAUUUAAAUUGGGGUGGCUGCCUUGCUCACAGUGAUUUCCCCCAAGGGUCAUGGCUGUGAUGCCCUCAUGUGUUUGGGAGAAUUGCUCCUCCUUUAGUUGGGGGCUGCCAUCCUCUGAUAGUGAUUUGCAAGGAGUGAGCAUGGGUCCCAAAUUGGAUCAUUCAAAGUGCUUCUCGGGGGCUUUUUUCCAACUGCUGCCCUUUUGUCUCUGUUUGCAGAACUGUGAGAGCAGGAAGCUUGCCAACAGCCAGGUCCCCAACCUUGUGGAGAAAGUGAUCUGGAAAAGUGAUGCUGACAUGAAGAGGAUGUUUGAGUACUUGGUUCCAGACCUCACUAAAUCCAGUUACAUCCUUGCCAUGAACCAACGGCUCCUGAUAAUACCUUCUCCCUUCCCUUUCUAAGCCUCAGUAUCCUUAUCUAUAAAAUAAUGGGGCUGCAUCCUUCCCCCUUUAUCUCUGAUGCUCUAUUACUAUGUUCAUUAAUUUAUUCUUUCCAUCAAUUAGUCAGUCAGCAUCCCUUGUGCAUCUGUUCUGUCUCUGGCCCUAUGGUGGACACUGAGACUCUUGGUAAAGGAAUAAUUCCCAUCCCCGGUUCUCAAGACUCAGAGUUAGGCAGGGGAGGGAGUUAAGCAACCAUUCAGGACUGAGUGUGGUAACGGCUGUGACAGAGGGAAGCACAAAAACUGUGGGGAUGUCAGAGAAGGAGACAUAUCCUCAUUUGUAAGUCUUCCUGGAGGAGGUGGCAGGAGCUGAGUUUUUCAGACAGGGGUGGGCGCGGAGAGAGGAGGAAGAGUAUUCCAGGCAGAAGAACCUGCCUUUGUAAGGGCCCAAAAGAGAAUGAGAGAAAGUAGCUGCCUGGGGCCGGAGGGGAGGGGACACAGGAGGUGACCUUCUUUGUAUUUUCUACCCAUGUAACUUCUGGGAAAACAAGAAAAAACUCCAUUUUUUAAAGCUUGGAAAAUCCCCAGGGUGGAGUCUUUAAACAGGGAUGAAAAGAAGUGACUUCUGACCACAGUAAAGCCCUGGAAUGAAUGAUGCUUCCCCUAGUGGGCUGCCCCAUUGGUCCUUGGUCCCAUCACGAAAUCCACGCUCACAGUUGCAUUCAGCGGCUGGUCCUAAGGCUGUUGGAUCCAUCUAAAAAUAGGAAGGCCUGGAGCCUAAGGCCAAGCAGAUGACAGAAGAGCAGCCCAGGAAGGCCUGGGAGGAGUGUAAACAUCCCCACCUCAUAGGAAACACACUCAUUACAUUCUGAGCAAAAGCGGUUAGUGAUGCACCCUGGAGAAAAUACGCAGUUAUUGCCCCCAAACAUGCCAAAGCCCUCCUAAUGACUGCACGCCUGCUCCGAAGCAGAAACUGUUCCAGAUGCUGCUGCUUGUCUCUGGAAGAGCCCUUCCUUCUUCCUGCCUGAGGUUCCGGAAUUUUCCUUGGAUUCUAGUCCUUAGGGAGACAUAUGGUGGGCUGGGGUGGGGAAAGUGAUUGCCCUCCUGGGCCUCAUAGGGGCAGCCUAGGGGAUCUCUGCCUUACAGACUGCUGUGGAGGCUGUGCCUUCCUGCCUGCCUGGUGUGGUGGGGGAAGGAGGGUGCCAGGCGCGAAGCUGGGAGCCAGCGCUCUAGAUGACGCUGGGGUGAGGGAGGUGAGCUCUACACUUGAGCGUUUUCAGCUUCUGCAUCUAUAAUGAGUAAUGAGUCUAUAGGGAAGCAGUAAUUUGCACACUUGAAGCCCCAAACACACUCAGCGAUGGCUGCCACUGGACGAGCCCUGGGCUUGGAACUAUCUCCCGGCUGGGUGACUCUAGGCAGUUGCCCCACCUCUGUGAACCUCCAUACCCUCAUCUGUAAACUGGGGAUGGUUUUGGAAAUUAACAUUUUUUUCUCUUGUUAAAGAACUCAUGCAUGCUUAUUAUCUAUUUUUUAAAUAUGUAAU